rnacentral:misc_RNA from 1 species
CGCCCUUUUGUGGUCUUUAGCUCUUUCUUCAUAGCUAAAUCUUUUCGCUGGAGCCUUUUCCGCUUCCAGUUUCGUCUGCACCUUUUUUGCUUUCACAGCCCCUUCUCUCUGCUCAAUCGUUCUGACUUCUUUCUCUUCUGGUAUCACGACUACCUCUAUGUGAUCCUUUGCUCCUUCCUGAAUAACCCUUUUGAUUCGAGUCU